rnacentral:snoRNA from 1 species
UUGAUAAAGGAUAAAAAAAAAAAAAAGAAAUAGCAAUGGCUGCAAACAGCAGCUUCCUUGGUAGUGUUCUUUGUAUGGGUUGCUCUAAGGGACCUUGGAGACAGGC